AUACAGCAGUACUCGGAUACACUGAACUCUGAUACAGCAGUACUCGGAUACACUGAACUCUGAUACAGCAGUACUCUGAUACACUGAACUCUGAUACAGUUCUUCAGUACAGAGCCAUCUCUAGCCUCUCUGACUUGGUUGUCUGUGUCUGCAGGACCUCAGAUUGUACCUGCCCCCCAGCCUUGAGCAGCCCACCUAGAGGGUGGAGUCUUCUGACCUUGGUGGAGUCUAUUGUAUGCCGCAUCUGCAGCUUCCUGUAAGAAGCCACUACUUGCUGAGCAGCUGAGUUUUCCUUCCAGAUGAGAUUCUGGCAAAGUAGGGGAUAGGCUCCCCACCCCCGCCCUUUAAAUUCAGACCUUAGAAUUAAAACAUUGAGCCUUGAUCAGAGAACUAUGUCUUGGCUCAUUAUUUCUCUCGCCAUCCUUCCCAUCCAUCCCCAGCUUUCCUUUCAGGAACCCAGUGACCUGUGGCCGCUGGCAGCUACAUUAGAUAUUUUCUCUAUUUACAUCUCAAAUGUUAUCACCUUUCCUGGAUUCCCCUCCCAAAACCCCCUAUUCCACACCCCCUGCCCUUUGCUCACCAACCCACCCACUCCUGCUUCCCUGUCCUGGCAUUCCUUUACCCUGGGGCAUCCAGCCUUCUCAGGACCAAGGGCCUCUCCUCCCAUUGAUGACCGACUGGGCAAUCCUCUGCUACAUAUGCAGCUGGAGCCAUGACUCCCACCAUGUGUACUCUUUGGUUGGUGAUUUAGUCUCUGGGAGCUCUGUGGGGGUCUGGUUGGUUCGUAUUGUUGUUCCUCCUAUAGGGCUGCAAACUACUUCAGUUCCUUCGGUCCUUUCUCUAGCUUCUUCAUUGGGGACCUUGGGCUCAGUCCAAUAGAUGACUGUGCGCACCCACCCCUGUAUUUGUCAGGCACUGGCAGAGCUUCUCAGGAGGCAGGCUCCUGUCAGCAAGCACUUGUUGGCAUCCACAAUACUGUCUGCGUUUGGUGACUGUAUAUGGAAUGGAUCCCCAGGUGGGGCAGUCUCUGGAUGGCCUUUCCUUCAGUCUCUGCUCCACACUUUGUCUCUGUAUCUCCUUCCAUGGGUAUUUUGUUUCCCCUUCUAAGAAGGACCAAAGUAUCCAUACUUGGGUCUUCCUUCUUCUUGAGCUUCAUUUGGUCUGUGAAUUGUAUCUUGGGUUUUCCAAGCUUCUGGGCUAAUAUCCACUUAUCAGUGAAUGCAUAUCAUAUGUGUUCUUUGGUGAUUGAGUUACUUCACUCAGGAUGAUAUUUUCUAGUUCCAUCAAUUUGCCUAAGAAUUUCAUGAAUUCAUCAUUUUUAAUAGCUGAGUAGUACUCUAUUGUGUAAAUGUUCCACAUUUUCUGUAUUAAUUUCUCUGUUGGGGGACAUCUGGGUUCUUUCUAGCUUCUGACUAUUAUAAAUAAGGCUACUAUGAACCUUAUAGUAUAGCAUGUGUCCUUAUUACAUGUUGGAGCAUCUUCUGGAUAUAUGCCUAGGAGUGGUAUUACUGGGUCCUCAAGUAGUACUAUGUCCAAUUUUCUGAGGACAAAACUGAUUUCCAGAGUGGUGGUGCCAGCUUUCAAUCCCACCAGCAAUGGAGGAGUGUUCCUCUUUCUCCACAUCUUCAUCAGCAUCUGUUGUCACCUGAGUUGUUGAUCUUAGCCAUACUGACUGGUGUGAAGUGGAAUCUCAGGGUUGUUUUGAUUUGCAUUUCCCUGAUGACUAAGGAUGUUGAACAUUUCUUUAGGUGCUUCUCAGCUAUUCGGUAUGAAUCCAUUUGGUUCAUAGUGUCUGUUAGUUUCAGUGUGUCUCUGUUUAGUUUGUGUUUCCCUGGUCUGUCCAUUGAUGAGAAUGGGGUGUUGAAGUUCCCCACAAUUAUUGUGUGAGGUGCAAUGUGUGCUUUUAGCUUUAUUAAAGUUUCUUUUAUGAAUGUGGUUGCCCUUGCAUUUGGAGCAUAGAUAUUUAGAAUUGAGAGCUCUACUUGGUAGAUUUUUCCUUUCCUCUCGUACUGAGGCAUAUAAAGUUUGCAAGACCAAGGGGCCUCUCUUCCCAAUGAUGGCCGACUAGGCCAUCUUCUGAUACAUAUGUAGCUAGAGACAUGAGCUCCGGGGGUACUGGUUAGUUCAUAUUGUUGUUCCACCUAUAGGGUUGUAGACCCCUUUAGCUCCUUGGGUACUUUCUCUAGAUCCUCCAUUGGGGGCCCUGUGUUCCAUCCAAUAGAUGACUGUGAGCAUCCACUUCUGUGUUUGCCAGGCCCAGGCAUAGCCUCACAAGAGACAGCUAUAUCAGGGUCCUUUCAGCAAAAUCUUCUGAUGUAUGCAAUGGUGUCAGUGUCACUGAUUAUGGGAUGGAUCCCCUGGUAUGGAAGUCUC
rnacentral:lncRNA from 1 species